GUUAUUUGGCCUUUAAAAAGAAGUGUGAUACCUUGUCGUUUCACACCCAUGUACGCAAAUCCAAAGUAUAACAGCUCCAAUUCGGUCUCUUCAAUCCCAGAUCAUUAUUCCUGAAAUCUUACAAAAUCAGCAAUUAACAACGACCCAGCGAGGACCGACAGGUGGUGACCAACCGAGAGGAACAAACGAGACUAUACGAUGAUAACCGAGAGGACGAACGAUCAACAGGCGACGAGGAGAGACGAAAUCCGACAGACAGACCGAGCGAUGAACCGAGAGGACGACCGACUGACCAAUGACGAGGAGAGACAAUAUCCGACAGAGAAUCGAACUGAAAUUAUAUGGCUUCAGCUGCAUUCAUCAAGCCUCUCCCUGUAAUAGAGUUUGUUACACAUCUUCUAGGCAAUGAUGUGUUGUGUAGGACAUUAUAUGAUUCUGCUUGUGUGAAGCAAUUUGACAGAUCAAUAACGCAGGCACUAAUAAAGGUUUCAGAUCCUUAAUGCAGUUUAGUGAUGAAGAUAUUAAGCAGUUAUUGAACAUUAUUAUUGUGAUUGAUAAUUCCAUAUUUUUUAAUAAGCAAAUACGAUUUCCUAUUCAGAACCUGUCAAGUUUGCUCGAGUACUGGAAACAUCAAUUGAUGUUAAGUUGCCAUAUAUUUUACCAGGACCAAAUAUUAAUCAUCACCUGUCUGAAAGCUUUGCAUUAACCCAUCCCUUUAUUGGAAAAAGAAAAGAAUAUAAUCCUACGCUGAUUACUCACCAAAGUAUAACGAAAGCCUUGUGAAUCCUUCUCUGUCUUCCUUAGCUUUGUGUGUAUGUGACUGUUAGAGCCAAGGCAUAUGUGAGGAAGAAAGAUAGGAAAGGAGCAACUAUGAGGACAUAUGGCAGCAACCUAGGGGGGAUAAGUGUCAAGCAGCAGGAAAAAGUGAAGGCAACCAACCACUACUCACCCAGUGAAGGUGGAACAGGGAAGCAACUAAAUCAGGGGACCACCAAGAUACUGAAUUCUGAGGAGGCAAUCCAGGAUUGGAGAGACAGUUGUGAGGAGAGAGGCAAGGAUAUGGAGAGGAAGGAAGAGAGGGCGGGCAGAAAUUGAGAAGAAAAACUGAAUGGGAGAGACCAAGCCUCUCAAAUGCUGGAUGAGUUGUUGAAGUCCUUUUAUUUAUUUAUUUUUUUGUUUCCAGUUAGUAUGUAAAAAGAAUCAA